rnacentral:snRNA from 1 species
AUACCUCACCUGAUGUAUCCUAGGAUUGCAUUAGCCUUGACCCCUGCGAUUUCCCCAAAUGCGGGAAACUUGACUGCAUAAUUUGUGGUAGUGGGGGACUGCGUUCGCGCUCUCCCCUG